AUCAAAUCUUUUUAUUAUUCAACUAGAACACAUUUAAAAUCUGCACAAAUAUUGUCCAAUCCCCGUGAGCAGCUGGAUCGGCAGCCUGGUUGAGAUGAGGCUCUGCGCCUUACAUCAGCCGGAUUGAACCGCCCUUUCGCGGAUUUCAAGACAACGCCAUCCUUUGCGUUCGCGAUACCAGCGAUACCAGCGCCUUGGGUGAGCGUCAUGCUUGACCAGACUGCCUGAAGCCUCUGCCUUGCGGAGGUAUACGCGCCACUGCUCCCGCCCCUGCAGUGCAGGUGGGAUCGCCCCACAUUUGUUUGCUGAAGGACGCGGACACCACGAAUUCCGAACAACUGGAAGCUGACCGCUUCGCUGUAAAGACAUUUGAGAACGCAAACUUACUUGUGGCAGAAAAGGUUGCUGCUUCCUGGCUGUAGUCUGCGGUCGCAAAACGGGCUCCACUGUCGCCGACUACCAGGCGGAACCAAUGAGGCUAAAAACUAGCCUUUCUUUGCUGCUUUCCCAGGAAGUGGAAUAACGGUCAAUCAUGUCAGAAUGAACUUGCAGCAUGUGAGCAGUAAUCAAACCUCUAUAGAGGUCAUGCUGCUGGUGGAAGCUGGAAUGCUAAGGCAAACCACAAUAUUUAUUUGUUUACUCAUUCAUGUAUUUAUAUCUCGUGAAUACUUUACAGGCUCUCAGGAAGAAGUUGCGUAAAAUGGAGAAGUAUUGUUAAGUCAAAGUAAACAUUUUAUUCAAAAAAUCA